rnacentral:rRNA from 1 species
GUGCCAGCAGCCUCGGUAAUUCCAGCUCCAAUAGCGUAUAUUAAAGUUGUUGUGGGGGAAAAGCUCGUAGUUGAACCUUGGGCCUGGCUGGCCGGUCCGCCUCACCGCGUGCACUGGUCCGGCCGGGCCUUUCCCUCUGUGGAACCCCAUACCCUUCACUGGGCGUGGCGGGGAAACAGGACAUUUACUUUGAAAAAAUUAGAGUGCUCCAGGCAGGCCUAUGCUCGAAUACAUCAGCAUGGAAUAAUAAAAUAGGACGCGCGGUUCUAUUUUGUUGGUUUAUAGGACCGCCGUAAUGAUUAAUAGGGACAGUCGGGGGCAUCAGUAUUCAACUGUCAGAGGUGAAAUUCUUGGAUCAGUUGAAGACUAACUACUGCGAAAGCAUUUGCCAAGGAUGUUUUCAUUAAUCAGGAACGAAAGUUAGGGGAUCGAAGACGAUCAGAUACCGUCGUAGUCUUAACCAUAAACUAUGCCGACUAGGGAUCGGACGGUGUUAUUCAUGACCCGUUCGGCACCUUACGAGAAAUCAAAGUGCUUGGGCUCCAGGGGGAGUAUGGUCGCAAGGCUGAAACUUAAAAGAAAUUGACGGAAGGCACCACCAGGGGUGGAGCCUGCGGGCUUAAUUUGACUUCAAUACGGGGAAACUCACCAGGUCCAGACACAAUAAGGAAUGAAAGAUUGAGAGCUCUUUCUUUGAUUUUGUGGGUGGUGGGGCAUGGACCGUUUCUAAGUUGGUGGGGUGAAUUUGGUCUUGCUUAAUUUGCGAUAUGAACGAGGACCUUAACAUGCCUAUAUAACCAGGAUUGCCCCGGCCGAGCGGCGUGCGUAUAUUAGAGAGGACUU